rnacentral:rRNA from 1 species
GACGAACGCUGGCGGCGUGCUUAACACAUGCAAGUCGAACGGAAAGGCCCUGCUUUUGUGGGGUGCUCGAGUGGCGAACGGGUGAGUAACACGUGAGUAACCUGCCCUUGACUUUGGGAUAACUUCAGGAAACUGGGGCUAAUACCGGAUAGGAGCUCCUGCUGCAUGGUGGGGGUUGGAAAGUUUCGGCGGUUGGGGAUGGACUCGCGGCUUAUCAGCUUGUUGGUGGGGUAGUGGCUUACCAAGGCUUUGACGGGUAGCCGGCCUGAGAGGGUGACCGGCCACAUUGGGACUGAGAUACGGCCCAGACUCCUACGGAAGGCAGCAGUGGGGAAUAUUGCACAAUGGGCGGAAGCCUGAUGCAGCAACGCCGCGUGCGGGAUGACGGCCUUCGGGUUGUAAACCGCUUUCGCCUGUGACGAAGCGUGAGUGACGGUAAUGGGUAAAGAAGCACCGGCUAACUACGUGCCAGCAGCCGCCGUAAGAC